rnacentral:rRNA from 1 species
AAUGAACGUUGGCGGCAUGGAUUAGGCAUGCAAGUCGAGCGAGAAGUGUAGCAAUACACGGAAAGCGGCGGAAGGGAGAGUAAUACGUGGGAAUCUGCCCUUAGACCUGGGAUAGCAGCAGGAAACUGCUGGUAAUACCAGAUAAUGUCUAUGGACCAAAGGUGUGAUUCCGUCUAGGGAUGAGCCCACGUCCUACGUUAGCUAGUUGGUAGGGUAAUGGCCUACCAAGGCGAUGAUGGGUAGCGGGUGUGAGAGCAUGACCCGCCUCACUGGGACUGAGACACUGCCCAGACACCUACGGGUGGCUGCAGUCGAGAAUCUUCGGGAAUGGGCGCAAGCCUGACCGAGCGAUGCCGCGUGCGGGAUGAAGGCCUUCGGGUUGUAAACCGCUGUCGAGGGGGAGCAACUUCCAUAGAGUUAUCUUUAUGGAUUGAGUGAUCCCUGGAGGAAGGACGGGCUAAGUUCGUGCCAGCAGCCGCCGCCGUAA